rnacentral:rRNA from 1 species
UGGGGAAUUUUGGACAAUGGGCGCAAGCCUGAUCCAGCAAUGCCGCGUGCAGGAUGAAGGCCUUCGGGUUGUAAACUGCUUUUGUACGGAGCGAAAAGGUCUGCCCUAAUACGGUGGGCUCAUGACGGUACCGUAAGAAUAAGCACCGGCUAACUACGUGCCAGCAGCCGCGGUAAUACGUAGGGUGCAAGCGUUAAUCGGAAUUACUGGGCGUAAAGCGUGCGCAGGCGGUUAUGCAAGACAGAGGUGAAAUCCCCGGGCUCAACCUGGGACCUGCAUUUGUGACUGUAUAGCUAGAGUACGGUAGAGGGGGAUGGAAUUCCGCGUGUAGCAGUGAAAUGCGUAGAUAUGCGGAGGAACACGGAUGGCGAAGGCAAUCCCCUGGACCUGUACUGACGCUCAUGCACGAAAGCGUGGGGAGCAAACA